rnacentral:rRNA from 1 species
AUUGAACGCUAGCGGGAUGCUUUACACAUGCAAGUCGAACGGCAGCGCGGACUUCGGUCUGGCGGCGAGUGGCGAACGGGUGAGUAAUGUAUCGGAACGUGCCCAGUAGCGGGGGAUAACUACGCGAAAGCGUAGCUAAUACCGCAUACGCCCUACGGGGGAAAGCAGGGGAUCGUAAGACCUUGCACUAUUGGAGCGGCCGAUAUCGGAUUAGCUAGUUGGUGGGGUAACGGCUCACCAAGGCGACGAUCCGUAGCUGGUUUGAGAGGACGAUCGGCCACACUGGGACUGAGACACGGCCCAGACUCCUACGGGAGGCAGCAGUGGGGAAUUUUGGACAAUGGGGGCAACCCUGAUCCAGCCAUCCCGCGUGUGCGAUGAAGGCCUUCGGGUUGUAAAGCACUUUUGGCAGGAAAGAAACGUCGCGGGCUAAUACCCCGUGGAACUGACGGUACCUGCAGAAUAAGCACCGGCUAACUACGUG